CUUUAGCUUUUUCACCCCUUGCCAUGAUCAGGCUGAGGUGGAAGCGGGACCAGGGGAGUGAGGAGCUGUGAAUCCCAUGUUGUGGCUGCCUCAGCUGGAUGGCUUUCAUGGCAACACUGAGACUACCUCCUGACAUUUAACUCAGUUGGCUCUUCCAGGUUUGCUGCUGGGACCUGCUUUGGCACCUCAACACCGUGACUCCUGCAGCCACCUGCUUACCCCAGGAGAACGGGG
rnacentral:lncRNA from 1 species